GAACGACACAGCAGCAGGGGCCACGUGCAUCAGGAAUAAGAACCCCUUUCCCACCCAGGUGUGUUCUCGCUAUUGUUCCAUCUGCAACUGAGCACCUUUUCUGCAGAAAGUAAAGACAGCCUUGCUAAGAGAUCAUUUGUCUCCAAGCUGACUUUUCUUUGCAGCACCGAUUAUCUAUUUCUAACAAUUUUGGGGGCUCGUCCAGGAUUACAGUCUCCUCUAGGGUGGGUCUCCAGUCCUCUCUUGUGAGAAGGCAUGCCCCACUACCUCGUUUUUGGCAGCCUCAGGGGUGAGGAACCGAGAUCCACCCAGUGUGAUGAAUAAACUGGGACUCUCAGCAACGUGGAAAGAAACUGGCUAGCAACGUAGGGUAAAGGAUCCUCACAUACUGCGGUAAUGACUCUGCACAGACCAAGGAAGGAGAAACCAUGGGAGCUGGUGUGGCUACAAGGAGAAGAUAGCUGUCUGCAAACUGUCCUCAUCAGACACUAGAUCUGCUGGUAUCUUGAUCUUGGACUUGGAAGCCUCCAGAUCUGGUUUGCGUCCUCAUCUGCCUUUCCAGACCAGCAGUUCCCAAAAGCCAGUGUGAGAACCAUCUGCAUCAGAGUGACCAGUCUGUGAAGAUCAAGCAUAGGAAUGCCAGGACUCCACCCUACAUGUCCUUUAUCUGGGGUGGUGCCCAGGCUUCCCGAUUAUUCUACCAACUCUACCAAAUCCUUGUUCUUCGUUGCACAAUUAGCUGUGAAACAGACAGAGGUUACCUACAAUAAGUGCAUGUCAUUUUGGACUAGCCAUAUUUCAAGGGCUCAGUAUGGCUAAUGGCCACUAUAUUGGACAUCGACGGUCAAACCCAUUUUACAUUCCCCUGACAACUAUGAUUGGUGUGAGGCCUAUGAUGGCCCAACUAGGCUGACAGCAAAGAUCUUUCCUGUUGGCAAAGAUCAUCUUUCUCUCUCCUGCUGGCAAGAACAAGAAAGAAUAAAGGUCUGAUCAACCCAUGAGCUUUCUUGGGAUUUAUGAGGAGAACCAGACUUUGGAUGAAACUGACAUUGAAAUGAGCAGGAUGGAGAGAAAAAUCCUAGGGGUUUGGUGACAAUACUGGGCUGCUGAUUAAACUUGGAGUUUGCCCUGACUCUGAACUUUCUAUUUAGUGAGAUAAUAAUUGUCUCAAUUGUUUAAGCUAGCUUGUGUUGCUUCCAGCUAAAAGAGUGCCAGCUAUAUACAAUGUGCAAGCUGACAUGUUGUCAUGCUCUGACACUGAUGAACACACCCCCACAAGGCUGUGAAGUAGUAGGGGAAGAACUAACCUGCAUGGAGUUGGAAGGGGGGGAAAAACAAAAUCAAACCAUAUGGAAAGCAGUUGAAUUCACUGCAUUAAAUAUACUUUUUAAAAUGUACAACAUAAUAGCCAUAUGUUUAAGUCAGAAUCAUCUGCAAAGCACGCAUGUUCACUUUCUGUUCCAGAGUCAGGCGUCUGAAUUCUGUGAGCAAAGCCUAGAGAAAAAAAACUAAGCCUAUGCCAGAUUUACAGGAAUAGUUAUCUUUAUAAAGACUAUAUGAACUGUAAUACAAAGUUACAAAGCUGAAGGCAAAGCUUUUCAAUAAAGCAAGUGGCUCUCAAAGAGAUACCUUCAAGAGUGUGGUUCUAUGUUUCCCACCUAGUGCUAAGUAAAACAUACAUUUCAAUUAGAAUUAGAAUGUACUUCAGGAAGUAAAUUAUUAAAUGACCUAGCACAUUUUGAUGUUUUUAAAAGCCCAAACUCCCAGCUGUGGAGAACAAUGAGUCUUUAAUGAUAAUUUAUUCCCCUCUUGUUCCCAUGAUUGCUAGAUAGCUGGGGGCCCUAGAUACUUAUUGGGCUCCAGGGACCCAAUGUGGGCAUUGUCAGAGGAGGAUACCAAUUAGCAGGUUUGGUUUCACAAAGAAGCAAAGAUUGCCCUGAGGUGAAAAACUCUGUCUCAGAGAAAACACCCUUGAACUUGAAUUGUCUUUUUUGCUCAUCAUUAGAAGUCAGCAAAGGAUUUAGCCUCUCCCUCACCAAUUCAUUAUCCACACUCUUCAGAAAAAAAAAAAUAAUAAUAAAAUAAAAUAUUUUCUCUUAUUAUGAAGGUGACAAUAAAGACAGUAAGCUUACCACAUGCAGAAAAGAGAGUGACCACUUUCUACUAGUUUUAAUGGCACUAUCACUGCUUCCAAAAAUUGCUUUAGGUCACUUACGGCCCCUGGAGAUAAACAUCUGAGGAUUCUGCAUAAGGUCCUUAAUGGGUGUUUUCAGGACAGCAUAAUUACCUGAGGCUUGUAAGAGUGAAAAGCAUCAGCCUCAAGGUUACUGAAUAAUGUAUGGUUGCCUGUUUGUCUAUUAGAGAGAGAUAAAGAAGAACAAAAAUCCAGUCACCAUAUGAAUCACAAUUUUAUUAUCUUUUUCAUUCAUUUAGUAUUUCAUUCAACACAUUUGAAAGCAUUUAUUAUGCACCAGGCACUGUACUAAACACUUUAGAUUCUAGUAUGAUUAAGACAGCAGAGUUCUACCCAUUGAGAUGUUCACAAUCUAGGUGGGGAAGGACAUGGAGAAUGAAGAAUAAGCAGACCAUUAAUUCCCAGAAAGGAGUAGGGUUACCUCUGGGCCCCUGCGGAGGUCAAUGAAGCUUUGUCUAUGGCCUUUAAGAGCUUUUCAUUU
rnacentral:lncRNA from 1 species